rnacentral:rRNA from 1 species
GGGCGCAAGCCUGAUGGAGCGACGCCGCGUGAGCGAAGAAGCACUUCGGUGUGUAAAGCUCUUUUCUCAGGGAUGAUAAUGACAGUACCUGGGGAAUAAGCCCCGGCUAACUACGUGCCAGCAGCUGCGGUAAUACGUAGGGGGCAAGCGUUGUCCGGAUUUACUGGGCGUAAAGCGCGUGUAGGUGGUACAGUAAGUCUGCUGUGAAAGCGCCCGGCUCAACUGGGCGAGGUCGGUGGAAACUGCUGAACUAGAGUAUGGUAGGGGCAGAGGGAAUUCCUGGUGUAGCGGUGAAAUGCGUAGAGAUCAGGAAGAACAUCGGUGGCGAAGGCGCUCUGCUGGGCCGACACUGACACUGAGAGACGAAAGCUAGGGGAGCAAAUGGGAUUAGAUACCCCAGUAGUCCUAGCCGUAAACGAUGGAUACUAAGCGCUGUGCGUAUCGACCCGUGCAGUGCUGUAGCUAACGCGUUAAGUAUCCCGCCUGGGGAGUACGUUCGCAAGAAUGAAACUCAAAGGAAUUGACGGA